GCCGUUGUAGCUCAGUUGGUAGAGCACGUCCAUGGUAAGGACGAGGUCCCCAGUUCGAUCCUGGGCAACGGCU
rnacentral:tRNA from 1 species